rnacentral:rRNA from 1 species
AACGAACGCUGGCGGCAUGCCUAACACAUGCAAGUCGAACGGGUACCUUCGGGUGCUAGUGGCGCACGGGUGCGUAACGCGUGGGAAUCUGCCCUUGGGUUCGGAAUAACUCAGCGAAAGCUGUGCUAAUACCGGAUGAUAUCGAAAGACCAAAGAUUUAUCGCCCGAGGAUGAGCCCGCGUUGGAUUAGCUAGUUGGUGGGGUAAAGGCCUACCAAGGCGACGAUCCAUAGCUGGUCUGAGAGGAUGAUCAGCCACACUGGGACUGAGACACGGCCCAGACUCCUACGGGAGGCAGCAGUGGGGAAUAUUGGACAAUGGGCGAAAGCCUGAUCCAGCAAUGCCGCGUGAGUGAUGAAGGCCUUAGGGUUGUAAAGCUCUUUUACCCGGGAUGAUAAUGACAGUACCGGGAGAAUAAGCUCCGGCUAACUCCGUG